rnacentral:lncRNA from 1 species
AUCUCGUUAGAAAAUGCACGCGAGAAAAACUCGCCUGUGCGGGCAUCGCACGCUGCGUGCGAGUGUGUGCACGCGGCCAACACUAGACGCGGAAACAGUGUGCACGUCCCAUCUGCAUGAGGCACAAGUUUGGUCUGCGUGCGCGUCUAAUCACUCGUAGACUAACGUGGCAUCGUGCGCCAUGUCUACAUGUCGUCUGCGCAGUAGGCCUGCACGAUAGGCCUGCGCAUAGCGCCCUGCGCACAGUGCCCUAUGCAAUAUAGGCCCUGUGCACGUGCAGGCUAGCCUGCGAGCAUGUGCGUGCGCAUGGCCAACACUGGACGGGCACACUGUGUGCACAU